CCUACUCUGCAACUCACUAAACACAGGAUGUUGGGAAUUUCAUUUAACUUCCCUGAAUCUGCAACACAAAUGGGAGGACCAGCACCUGCCUGCGGCAAGAGGAUGCGUUCCAGAGCCCCUUGCACAGGACCGGGUGGGUUCUUGGCAGAGGGAAUCAGCAAAUGUGAGCUCUAUUUCUCUCUUUUCUACUUCUUCGAGGGACAUCUCAGACAUCUUAUUGCCAGGAAAGCAAGAAAAAAAGUGUUGCCUCCAUUUCUCAGUCUCCUUGUGGUUGGAAGAUGGCUUGACCCAGCCACCUAGAUCUUCAGAGUUCAUAUUUAGUGGGGCUGAAGUUUCACUGCGAUAUCAUUGACAUACAGCUGAUGUUUAAGAUGUGCGGCAUGAUGACAUGACAAAGGUAUCGAGAAAAG